ACAGUACAAACUGAACAGGCAUUAUCUUUGGGUAUAAUGCCGGGCUACAGUAUUUGUAGCAACAGAUGGAGCUUUAUACAUCUGUGGGACAGUA
rnacentral:ncRNA from 2 species